GGAAUUUUGCGCAAUGGGGGGAACCCUGACGCAGCAACGCCGCGUGCGGGACGAAGGCCUUCGGGUUGUAAACCGCUUUCAGCAGGGAAGACAUCGACGGUACCUGCAGAAGAAGCCCCGGCUAAAUACGUGCCAGCAGCCGCGGUAAUACGUAUGGGGCGAGCGUUAUCCGGAUUCAUUGGGCGUAAAGCGCGCGUAGGCGGCUCGCCAAGCGGGACCUCCAAUCCCGGGGCUCAACCCCGGGCCGGGUCCCGAACUGGCGGGCUCGAGUUCGGUAGGGGGAGGCGGAAUUCCCGGUGUAGCGGUGAAAUGCGCAGAUAUCGGGAAGAACACCGAUGGCGAAGGCAGCCUCCUGGGCCGUGAACUGACGCUGAGGUGCGAAAGCCGGGGGAGCGAACA
rnacentral:rRNA from 1 species